GUGAGUAGUUCAGAGUUUGAUCCUGGCUCAGGAUGAACGCUGGCGGCGUGCUUAACACAUGCAAGUCGAACGAAGCGCUCUGAUUACUUCGGUUUGAAGAGUGACUGAGUGGCGGACAGGUGAGUAACGCGUGGGUAACCUGCCUCAUACAGGGGGAUAACAGUUAGAAAUGGCUGCUAAUACCGCAUAAGCGCACAGUACCGCAUGGUACGGUGUGAAAAACUCCGGUGGUAUGAGAUGGACCCGCGUCUGAUUAGCUAGUUGGUGAGGUAACGGCUCACCAAGGCGACGAUCAGUAGCCGACCUGAGAGGGUGACCGGCCACAUUGGGACUGAGACACGGCCCAA
rnacentral:rRNA from 1 species